rnacentral:siRNA from 1 species
CAAAGGUCCUACAUCUUCUAG